AAAACAUAUUUAGCGUUGGGCAAAGAGAAUAUAAUUACGGCGUUGGGAUCAAUGGACUUGUUUCCAGAGCCGUAAUGAAUAAAUUUAAAAAAAUUAAAACAUAUUUAUCGUUAAUCAUAUUCAAUAAAACAAAUUCCAACAGGCACCAAAACCUGUAAUACCAAAUCCAACAUUCCAACGUCCCAUACCCAAAGGAAAACAAAUCGUUCACAUCUCGUGUUCCGUGAACCGAUUGUUUCGUGAACAAGCGCGAUACAUUAAUCAAGCAGUUAUCGAUGUCCGGUCCGGGGAGCACUCCGACCACUCAGAUAUACCUCUUGGAAGCGGCCCGCAUCCAGCGACGUCCUGCGACUUUUGUUACGUUCUCAGUCCACCUCGUGGGUGGACGUCCGACGCUGCGCAAGCCAGUUUGUGUCCUUCACUCUAGAACCUUCCAUACGCAUCUUAUGAUAGCUUUGAUAUAAAGCAAAACAUUAAAAAUUCUAUGUUUA